rnacentral:rRNA from 1 species
CCUACGGGUGGCAGCAGUGGGGAAUAUUGCGCAAUGGGCGCAAGCCUGAUGCAGCAACGCCGCGUGAAGGAAGAAGGCUUUCGGGUUGUAAACUUCUUUUAUGAGGGACGAGCAAAAUACGGUUCCCCGUCAAUAAGCCACGGCUAACUACGGGCCAGCAGCCGCGGUAAUAAGGAGGGGGCAAGCGUUGUCCGGAUUUACUGGGUGUAAAGGGCGGGUAGACGGGAAGACAAGUCCGAUGUGAAAUCCCGGGGCUCAACCGCGGAACUGCAUUUGAAACUGUUUUUCUGGAGUUCCGGAGAGGUAAGCGGAAUUCCUUGUGUAGCGGUGAAAUGCGUAGAUAUAAGGAAGAACACCAGUGGCGAAGGCGGAUGACUGGACGGCAACUGACGGUGAGGCGCGAAAGCGUGGGGAGCAAACAGGAUUAGAUACCCGAGUAGUC